AUGCUGUUAGUAUAAGUUAUUAUGUUUCUUUUCCAAAGAAAAGAUCUAUUUUUUAGGCGGUAUA
rnacentral:tRNA from 1 species